rnacentral:rRNA from 1 species
AGGAUCAUUCAUAAUAAAAGUGUUUUAUGGCACUUUUUAAANAANCCAUAUCCACCUUGUGUGCAAUGUUUUUUUGAAAGGGNNUCUCUCUCUCCUGAGAGGGAAGAGGCUUUUUUUCUCUUUAACUUACUCAACUCUUAUUUUUAAUUGCCAUUUGUCUGAAAUAAAAUUAUUAUUAUGAAUAACUUAAUUCAAAAUAUAACUUUCAACAACGGAUCUCUUGGCUCUCGCAUCGAUGAAGAACGCAGCGAAAUGCGAUACGUAAUGUGAAUUGCAGGAUUCAGUGAAUCAUCGAAUCUUUGAACGCAUAUUGCGCUCUCUGGUAUUCCGGAGAGCAUGCUUGUUUGAGUAUCAGUAAACACCUCAAGUCUCAAGAUAUUAUUAUUAUAUCUCGAGAAUUGGAUUUGAGUGAUCCUAACGACAAGUCGUCUUUUUGAUGACUAGUAGGCAGGUCACUUGAAAUUCAGGUGCAGCUGAACUUUUCUUCUGAGCUAAAAGCAUUAUUUUAUUUAGUCUUUAUUGACUAUUACUUUUUGCUGCAGCUAAUAUAAAGGGAGAAGAGCUUCUUAAUGCUGACUGAUGCAGGAAUUUAUCAGUGUCUCGUAAAAAAGGACCUGUUAGACUCGAUCUCAAAUCAAGUAAGACUACCCGCUGAACUUAAGCAUAUCAAUAAGCGGAGGAAAAGAAACUAACAAGGAUUCCCCUAGUAACGGCGAGUGAAGCGGGAUGAGCUCAAAUUUAAAAUCUGGCUGGUUUACUAGUCCGAAUUGUAGUUUAAAGAAGCGUUUUCGGUGGCAUCCUGGGUAUAAAUCCUUUGGAAUAGGGUAUCAUAGAGGGUGAGAAUCCCGUCUUUGACUCAGUGAAUGCUACUAUGUGAUACGUUUUCAAAGAGUCGAGUUGUUUGGGAAUGCAGCUCAAAAUGGGUGGUAAAUUUCAUCUAAAGCUAAAUAUUGGCGAGAGACCGAUAGCGAACAAGUACCGUGAGGGAAAGAUGAAAAGAACUUUGAAAAGAGAGUUAAAAAGUGCGUGAAAUUGUUGAAAGGGAAACGUUUGACACCAGUCAUGCGGGUGGGAAAUCAAUCUUUUGGGGUGGGGAGUGUUGGAGGAAUUCCAGACCGCAAGGCUGGCCUUUGGCUCUAUCUCUGUUCUGAAGGAUGCACUUUCUCAUUUGCAGGUCAACAUCAGUUUCUUCCGCUGGACAAAACUCCAAGAGAAGGNANCNNCUUAGGCUGUGUUAUAGCUCUGGGGCGAUACAGUGGAGGGACUGAGGUUUGCAGUGUNUNNNNNNNNNNNNUCGACUGGUGCUAUGUGAUCGUU